ensembl:lncRNA
GGAACAACUUUAAUCCAGGUGAGAUUAGGCAAAAUAGCUCUUUUGAGAGUAAAUGUUGCAGACUCCUGGUCGAAGUAAAUCCACUUCCCAUAAUGCAAUGCCCAAAACUUUCAAGGCAAUGUCAGUGACAUUGUUUACAGUAGAUUUCAAAACAAACUUUUGAUAAGCAAUUUCAACCUUUCACAUCUGUUUUCUGAACUAAUGAUCUUUGCUUUAUUGAUCUAUGAGGCCUACACUAUGUCUUUAUCUGAUGAAUAAAAAAGCAACUUUAAACUUCAAAACUACAUUUCUGUCACACUUUCUGGGCCUUUUUCUCAGUUUCAGCAGAAGCUGGUUUUCCAAAUGGUAUUACGUUACAUCUGAGGUUCAUUGAUUUCUGUAUAGUGAUCAGGCAACCUUCAUUGGCUGUAAAGACACAGAUGAAAUGGUUGAGCAAUAGUUCAAACUAUAUUGAAAUAAGAAUAAUUAGAAACAUGAUUUGCUUUGCACUGGCGCCCUGUCCAGGGUGUACCCCCGCCCAGCGCCCUAUGAGAGCCGGAGAUUGGCACCGGCAGACCCCCGCGACCCUGUUAAAUGGGAAUAAGCGGAUAUGAAAAUGGAUGGAUGGAUGGAUUUGCUUUGCAUAAAUGUUAAUGCAAAUAUUAACAUACACUCUGUUUGUAACCUUAGAAGAUAGUUUUUUCUUCUAUAGGGUGACAUACAAUGAUACAAAGCAUGUUUGCAAAGCAGUGUGUUUAACAAGUAAACAUUCAGCUUUCAUAAUAUCACUAAGUACCCACUGUUGUCUGGAGGGGUGGGAAGAAUUGGCAGGAAAACUAUUGGUCCGUGGUCUUUAUUUAAAGUGAACUGUGAGAGACCGAGGGACAGCAGCUCAACUAGAGUCACCAUGAAGAUCGUUUGCGUUGCUGUCGUUGCACUGAGUCUCAUCUCUGGAUGUUGCUCUGCACCACUGGCCUGUGAGAAGCUAAUGAAACCAAUAGAACGGAUUCCAGAUGUGUCGGGGAGAUGGUACAUCAUUGGUUUGUCCACUGCCCUCUGCUUGCCAUCAACACUAAUUAAUGCUGUCAUAUGGCCAUCGUUCACUUUUGAUUUUGCCUCGAAAGGCAGACCAGACAUCUACAUCAGUACAACAAAUGUCAAAAUGUACGGAUUUUGCCACAAUGAAACAUCACCACUUUUGAUUAAAGGCAACUCUAUGAUUGAAGUCGAUGAAAAUGAUGCUCCAACAGGUGAUUCACUGAGUCUGUUGCAAACUGGCUGUCCUGACUGCUUUGUAGUAACGGGAAAUGACUUACUUCACUAUUUGCUGAUUGCCAGCAGGAGAAAGAACAUCACUGCCGCUGAGCUGGAUGAGUUUGAGAUGCAGGCCAAGUGUUUAAGCUUGUCCAAACCGCAGUACAUGAACACUGACUUUGGUAAGAUUUGUUCAUCUUGAACUUCUUCAUGUCCACCUUAGAGCAACCUACACAUUUAAAGCAAGGUGAUAGGCUGCAGAAAUAU